UACAGGGGGUGCAAACGUUGCUCGGAAUUAUUGGGCGUAAAGCGCGCGUAGGCGGCUACUUAAGUCGGAUGUGAAAGCCCUUGGCUCAACUGAGGAAGUGCACCCGAAACUGAGUGGCUAGAGUACGAAAGAGGGUCGCGGAAUUCCCGGUGUAGAGGUGAAAUUCGUAGAUAUCGGGAGGAACACCGGUGGCGAAGGCGGCGACCUGGGUCGAUACUGACGCUGAUGCGCGAAGGCGUGGGGAGCAAACAGG
rnacentral:rRNA from 1 species